rnacentral:tRNA from 1 species
GGAGAAAUGGCAGAGUGGUCGAUCGCGGCGGUCUUGAAAACCGUUGUACCGUGAGGUACCGGGGGUUCGAAUCCCUCUUUCUCCGCCA